rnacentral:rRNA from 1 species
GAAGAGAUCGUAAAGGUUUCGUAGGUGACCCUGCGGAAGGAUCAUUGUCGAAACCUGCAUGAGCAGAACGACCAGCGAACAAGUUUACUAUUCACAUGGGGGAGGGGUGCUUGCGCCCUCUUUCCCAUGGCCGGAGCCGGCCUGCCCAACAAGGUUGGUCGGCUAUGGCACAUCAACAAACCCCGGCGUGGUAUGCGCCAAGGAACAACAAUUAAAUAUGCGUCCAUGCAUUGCGCCUGGGUAACUGGGUCGCGGUUGUAGGGGCAUAAAUAAGAAUGAAUGACUCUCGGCAACGGAUAUCUCGGCUCUCGCAUCGAUGAAGAACGUAGCGAAAUGCGAUACUUGGUGUGAAUUGCAGAAUCCCGUGAACCAUCGAGUCUUUGAACGCAAGUUGCGCCUGAAGCCUCCGGCUGAGGGCACGUCUGCCUGGGCGUCACACAUCGCGUCUCCCCCUCAACACCUUAUGCGUGGGAGGGAGGAUGAUGGCCUCCCGUGCCUCACCGGGUGCGGCUGGCCUAAAAUUGGAGCCCUUGGCGAUGAGCUGCCGCGGCAUUUGGUGGUUUGUUUCAUUGAACUCGCUGCGCUCCUCUGAACCAAGUGAAGCUCGAAGGACCAUCAAAGGUUGCCUUAAUGCGGCCUUCACGCUGCGAUCCCAGGUCAGGCGGGGCUACCCGCUGAGUUUAAGCAUAUCAAAAACGGGAAAGAAAAAAAAAACCAAUUUAAACCAAUA